CCAGGGGGGCAGCUACACAUGCAGUCGAGCGAGAACUUCGGUUCUAGCGGCGGACGGGUUAGUAACGCGUGGGAACGUGCCCUUCACUACGGAAUAGUCCCGGGAAACUGGGUUUAAUACCGUAUACGCCCUUCGGGGGAAAGAAUUUCGGUGAAGGAUCGGCCCGCGUUAGAUUAGAUAGUUGGUGGGGUAACGGCCUACCAAGUCUACGAUCUAUAGCUGGUUUUAGAGGAUGAUCAGCAACACUGGGACUGAGACACGGCCCAGACUCCUACGGGAGGCAGCAGUGGGGAAUCUUAGACAAUGGGCGCAAGCCUGAUCUAGCCAUGCCGCGUGAGUGAUGAAGGCCUUAGGGUCGUAAAGCUCUUUCGCCAGGGAUGAUAAUGACAGUACCUGGUAAAGAAACCCCGGCUAACUCCGUGCCAGCAGCCGCGGUAAUACGGAGGGGGUUAGCGUUGUUCGGAAUUACUGGGCGUAAAGCGCGCGUAGGCGGAUUGGAAAGUUGGGGGUGAAAUCCCAGGGCUCAACCCUGGAACUGCCUCCAAAACUAUCAGUCUAGAGUUCGAGAGAGGUGAGUGGAACUCCGAGUGUAGAGGUGAAAUUCGUAGAUAUUCGGAAGAACACCAGUGGCGAAGGCGGCUCACUGGCUCGAUACUGACGCUGAGGUGCGAAAGUGUGGGGAGCAAACAGGAUUAGAUACCCUGGUAGUC
rnacentral:rRNA from 1 species